rnacentral:rRNA from 1 species
CCUACGGGCGGCAGCAGUGGGGAAUAUUGGGCAAUGGGCGCAACCCUGACCCAGCCAUGCCGCGUGAGUGAAGAAGGCUUUCGGGUUGUAAACUUCUUUCCUCCGUGACGAUGAUGGUGAUGGUACCUGAGGAAUCAGCGGCGGCUAACUACGUGCCAGCAGCCGCGGUAAUACGUAGGGGGGCAGCGUUAUUCGGAUUUAUUGGGUGUAAGGGGGGUGUAGGCGGAUGUGUAAGUCAGUGGUGAAACGCCGGGGCUCAACCCCGGACCUGCAAUUGUUACUAUGUUUCUAGAGUGAUGGAGAGGAUAGCGGAAUACCGAGUGUAGAGGUGAAAGUCGUAGAUAUACGGUAGAACACCAGUGGCGAAGGCGGAUAGCUGGCCAUUAACUGACGCUGAGGCUCGAAAGCAUGGGGAGCAAACAGGAUUAGAUACCCUUGUAGUC